rnacentral:rRNA from 1 species
GACGAACGCUGGCGGCGUGCUUAACACAUGCAAGUCGAGCGGAGCGGCGAACGGGUGAGUAACGCGUGAGUAACUGCCCCCCCCUCUGGGAUAACAGUUGGAAACGGCUGCUAAUACCGGAUAGUGGGGGAUGACUCUGGUCCUAUCAUCUUGUUGGUUGGGUUGUGGCCUACCAAGGCGAUGACGGGUGGCCGGCCUGAGAAGGCGACCGGCCACGUUGGGCUGAGAUACGGCCAAUACUCCUACGGGAGGCAGCAGUGGGGAAUAUUGCACAAUGGGGGAAUCCCUGAUGCAGCAACGCGCGUGCGGGAUGACGGCCUUCGGGUGGUAAACCGCUUUCAGCCAUGACGCUGUAGUGGAAGAAGAAGCACCGGAUAACUACGUGCCAGCAGCCGCGGUAAUUC